AAUUGAUUCAAAGCCUCCGAAUCAAUUUGGAGAUUCACACAGUCCACGCUCGCCACCACAGGGAGCAGGACCCGGACUCUCUGCUGGUUGUCACAUGAUGAGUUAUCCACCACGGUAACCAGUUUGCCAGAAGAGAAUUACAGAACUCCAGCAAGAACGGAGACUCACAUCUGAAUGUAGUGGAAAAUAAUGGAUACCAUUAUGCUACAGACCACACUACUGCUAAUGGAUGCUAUUUCCUUUGGGACACCGUGUAAAUAAAUAUGGUAUCAGAGCACACAGAGAUGGUAAAAAUUGUCACGUUCAGUACAGGUUACUAAAGUGGUGGGAUUUUAGGUACAAAUCCAUGUAAGAUGAAUAUUGGGUUAACCUUUCUUAAGUUGCUUAUCUUUUGAUAAUUGUAAUGGACCAUUUCUUGUCUGAUAUUAACCACAGCUGUUGCAUUGGUUGGAUGUAAAUAUAUCUUUUAUGGAUUGUAACUUUUCCAACAUUUAUUCAGCCAGGAAACAGGCAGAGUCCCUAAGGCAAAGUGUUCAUUAGCAUGCGAACAGAAACAGUUCCAAGGAGAGUAUGUUCAGACAUGCAGUGGUAGGUGAGGGCGUUUUGUAAGGCUCCAAGGUGUUAAUAGUAAAACUUUCUGGCUACUUA